rnacentral:misc_RNA from 1 species
GUGAAUCAUCAAAUUUUUGAACGCAAAUUGCACUCUCCUCGGAGAGUAUGCCUGUUUGAGGGUCAGCCUAUAAAAAUCGACAUCGUUGCUGUUUCGCGGUGGCGUUCGUCGGGAAUUGGGGCAUCUUAAAUCCUUUUGAUUUAAGCGACCUAAAAUUUUCUUUUGGUUCCAUGAACAUUUCUAAGAUCUAUUUCUUUACACACUUAAGGGAUAGAUUUUUUCUUUACGUGACCAUCAUAUCGGGUCGCGUCCAUAAUCUUUCAUUUACUGACAUC